rnacentral:tRNA from 1 species
GGAGAGUUGUCCGAGUGGUUGAAGGAGCACGCCUGGAAAGCGUGUAUACGGCGAACACUGUAUCCGGGGUUCGAAUCCCCGACUCUCCG